AACAAACGCUGGCGGCGUGCCUAAUACAUGCAAGUCGAACGGGGAAAGCUUUCGGGUGAGUACUAGUGGCGCACGGGUGAGUAACGCGUGGAUAAUCUGCCUUAGAGUGGGGGAUAACUAGUCGAAAGAUUAGCUAAUACCGCAUAAGACCACAAGAACUGCGGUUCAAGGGGUCAAAGGUUUUUCGCUCUAAGAUGAGUCCGCGUAAGAUUAGCUAGUUGGUAGGGUAACGGCCUACCAAGGCGACGAUCUUUAACUGGUCUGAGAGGAUGGUCAGUCACACUGGAACGGAGACACGGUCCAGACUCCUACGGGAGGCAGCAGUAGGGAAUAUUGCACAAUGGAGGAAACUCUGAUGCAGCGACGCCGCGUGAGUGAUGAAGGCCUUCGGGUCGUAAAGCUCUGUCGCAGGGGAAUAACACAAUGAAGGUACCCUGUAAGAAAGGAUCGGCUAACUUCGUGCCAGCCGCCGCCGUAAGAC
rnacentral:rRNA from 1 species